rnacentral:rRNA from 1 species
GCUUGUCUCAAAGAUUAAGCCAUGCAUGUCUAAGUAUAAACUGCUUAUACUGUGAAACUGCGAAUGGCUCAUUAAAUCAGUUAUAGUUUAUUUGAUGGUACCUCUACUCGGAUAACCGUAGUAAUUCUAGAGCUAAUACGUGCGCAAAUCCCGACUUCUGGAAGGGACGUAUUUAUUAGAUAAAAGGCCAGCCGGGCUCACGCCCGACCUGCGGUGACUCAUGAUAACUCCUCGAAUCGCAUGGCCUUGCGCCGGCGAUGUUUCAUUCAAAUUUCUGCCCUAUCAAUUUGAUGGUAGGAUAGAGGCCUACCAUGGUGGUAACGGGUGACGGAGAAUUAGGGUUCGAUUCCGGAGAGGGAGCCUGAGAAACGGCUACCACAUCCAAGGAAGGCAGCAGG